CACUCAGGUAGCAGUCAACAGUCAGGUAACAGCCAGGUAACAGUCAGGUAACAUUUAUCACUCAGGUAACAGUCAACAGCCAGGUAACAUUUAGCACUCAGGUAACAGUCAGCAGCCAGGUAACAUUUAGCACUCAGGUAGCAGUCAGCAGCCAGGUAACAUUUAGCACUCAGGUAGCAGUCAACAGCCAGGUAACAUUUAGCACUCAGGUAACAGUCAACAGUCAGGUAACAGUCAACAGUCAGGUAACAGCCAGGUAACAUUUAGCACUCAGGUAACAGUCAGGUAACAUUUAGCACUCAGGUAACAGUCAGGUAACAUUUAGCACUCAGGUAACAGUCAGGUAACAGUCAGGUAACAGUCAACAGUCAGGUAACAGUCAGGUAACAGUCAACAGUCAGGUAACAGUCAACAGUCAGGUAACAGUCAACAGUCAGGUAACAGCCAGGUAACAUUUAGCACUCAGGUAACAGUCAGGUAACAUUUAGCACUCAGGUAACAGUCAGGUAACAUUUAGCACUCAGGUAACAGUCAGGUAACAGUCAGGUAACAGUCAACAGUCAGGUAACAGUCAGGUAACAGUCAACAGUCAGGUAACAGCCAGGUAACAGUCAACAGUCAGGUAACAUUUAGCACUCAGGUAACAGUCAGGUAGCAGUCAACAGUCAGGUAACAGCCAGGUAACAUUUAGCACUCAGGUAACAGUCAACAGCCAGGUAACAGCCAACAGUCAGGUAACAGCCAGGUAGCAGUCAACAGUCAGGUAACAGCCAGGUAACACUCAGUCUGAAACUCUUCUUCUGCUGGAGAAAAGGUUGCAUGAGCCUCAUCACACAGACGGCGUGCAGGACUGCGACGCAUAAAGAAACCGGUCUGCUGUUGGAGCAGCGAGGCAGUUCCUUUAUUUUCGCUGCACACUGGAAACAUUCGGGUUUGAGACGAGAGAUCGUUUCAGCUUUUAUUUCCAGGUAUUUCCAGCUAGCUCCGUUACACCUUUUGUGUGAACUCCCCAUUUUUCAAGUGAGCAAAAUGAUUGGAACAUGUGACUGACAGGUGUGUGUUGUUGACUGACAGGUGUGUGUGUCCUAUUACAUUGAUUAGUCAAACAAGAAAUAGCUAUGAACGUCUGCUCUCAGUUUCAGCCUUGGUUUUGCCUGAGCAGACAGUUAAAAGGGUGAAAUCAACAUGAAGACCAGAGAGCUGUCUAUGGGGGGAAGCAAGCAAUUCUGUAGCUGAGAGAAGACGGAAAAUGAAUCCGAGCCAUUGCACAAGCAUCGGCCGUAGCCAGUACAAGUAUUAGGAAUGUGCCGAAGAAGAAAGAAACCACUGGUGUGCCGAGCAACAGACGUCGAACCGGAAGACCAAGGAAACAUCAGCAGUUGAUGACAGAAACAUCGUGAGAGCUGUAAAGAAAAACCCUGAAACUACUGUCAGCGACAUCACCAACAACCUGCAGAGGCCGGAGUGAAGGUAUCGCAGUCCGCCGUUCGCGGAAGGGGGGUCGCAGACACGAGGCUCCGAAGUUCUGGGUUUAUGGACGGAUGAGACAAAGAUGAACCUUCUCCAGUGAGGGAAAGUGUUAAUGUGUGGAGAAGGAAAGGAUCUGCUCAUCAUCCCAAACACACGAGCUCAGCUGUGAAACAUGGUGGAGGUGAUGUCAUGGCUCAUUGAUCGUCACUGAUGAUGUAACUCAUGAUGGCGGCAGCAGAAACAUUUUGUCUGCCAGUUUCAAGAGAAAUGCAUCCAAACUGAUCUGGAGAUCCUUCAUCAUGCAGCAAGACAAUGACCCGAAACACUAUUAUUAUUCACUUUAAUCUAUUUAAGUCUUGUCUGUUUCUAUACUUUUGCUCUCCUAAAAAUGAGGUGUUCUGUUACAGAAGGUACUAUCGUCUAAGUGGUGUAACAGAGCUAGUUGGAAAUACCUGGAAAUAAAAGCUGAAAUGCUGAUCUCUUGUCUCAAAUUCAUAGUUUGACGGCAAACCCAAAUGUUUUCAGUGUACAGCAAAAACCAAGGAACUGGCCUCGCUGUUUGGGAGGAGACUGUAUAUGUUGACUGCUAGCUGCUCGUGAUAUCAGCAGUUUGAGACAUCUGAGCUUUUAAAAAGCUGAUAAUCUACCUGCAGGAGGUGGUCAGAAUAAACUCUUAGCAGGAGAUUUAUUGGACCUCAACACUUCGUCUCUCCUCACGUUUAAGUCUCUGACACGUAAAGGUCUUAAUGUACGUAUGACAUGAAAAACAAUCUGUAUAUAUUAGUGAUAUUACACACAGUGCAUUUAUUUAUUGACUCUUGUUGCCCUCCAGUGUCACGUUAACCUGUUGGCACUGUACUUAAAUUAAAUAAUAUUUUUAUUGUGUCUUUUAUGACCUGUUGAUUAGAAGUUUGUGCAAGACUCCUUUUGCGUUAUACUUUCAUGUCUAUUUAUAUUUUUUAUUUUCCUUGUAACGGAUAUUUUACACACACGGAUGUGACCACAUGAUGUCACUGGUCCUUUUGCUUUACAUAUCAGGUAUUUACCUGAAGAAGACCUGUAGUUGGUCGAAACGUCGCUAAUAAAAUCAAAGGGAGCUGCGAGUCCUUGUGUUCUGAUUUACUGACUGUUUUGUAUCCGGCAGCUUUUAUACGACUAUUAGAAGCAGAGCCGGUGCAACAUUUGAUGUGACAUUUUAAAUUUGCUGCUGUGUUUUUAAUCUGAAAUCAUCUUGCUGAGUUAGGUGCUGCUGUCUACAGUUCUGUAAAUAUUAAUAUAUCAUUAUAAA